GACGAACGCUGGCGGCGUGCUUAACACAUGCAAGUCGAACGCUGAAGCUUGGUGCUUGCACUGGGUGGAUGAGUGGCGAACGGGUGAGUAAUACGUGAGUAACCUGCCCUUGACUCUGGGAUAAGCCUGGGAAACUGGGUCUAAUACUGGAUACGACAUGCCACUGCAUGGUGGUGUGUGGAAAGGGUUUUACUGGUUUUGGAUGGGCUCACGGCCUAUCAGCUUGUUGGUGGGGUAAUGGCCUACCAAGGCGACAACGGGUAGCCGGCCUGAGAGGGUGACCGGCCACACUGGGACUGAGACACGGCCCAGACUCCUACGGGAGGCAGCAGUGGGGAAUAUUGCACAAUGGGCGGAAGCCUGAUGCAGCGACGCCGCGUGAGGGAUGACGGCCUUCGGGUUGUAAACCUCUUUCAGCACGGAAGAAGCGAGAGUGACGGUACGUGCAGAAGAAGCGCCGGCUAACUACGUG
rnacentral:rRNA from 1 species